CACAAUGGCAGCCUUAAUAUAAUUGUCUGUGUUUUGUUUUACGCCGCACUGGGCGCUGCGUAUACAAUAUGAAGCAACAAUUAUCAUCGUCCGCAUUUCCAAAUGGCUGUGUUGAAAACCAUCUCACUCUUAAUCGUUCUAGCUGUCUUUUUAAAAUACAUCCACGGCGAUUCGUCGUGCUCCGAGCGGCAACGGGAUGGCUCGGUCUGCCCACGUUCAAAGCGCAUCGAGAUUCAUUUUAAGCCUUACUACGAAAUUUUCUUCGAUAAAACGGGUUCUAGGAACAGCCUAUACCCUGACAUCCUCCGCAAUGCGUCCGCGACAUGUUGCAAGUCCAGCGUUUUGGAGUUCAUUCCGGUAAACAGUUCGACAAAGGACAUCGAAGAGUUGAUACAAGAUGAGAGUUGCACAAAAGUGAAGAACAACGAUUCCAGCUUGAGUUUCUUCUUCCCAGUUUUUGUCAAAAGCGGAAAGAAAGCAGCUUUCGACGACGACUUUCAGUUUGUUCAGCUGGCAAAAUCAGCCGGACCUGUCAUAAUGAUGUUGACCUCGGAGAAGCAGAAGAUGAAGGUGACAGCUUCGGUUGCCGUCCGAAAUUCAUGGCCCUUGUUCGUACUGAUCAUGUGUCUCUCAGCGACUGUCGGACUACUUGGCUGGCUUUUGGAAAAGGUGUUUGCGCCUCAGAACCCAACAAGUAGCUCAACAUUGGACCAUUCCAGCAAUCCAUCACAAUUUUCGACUUGGUUUUACAAAGGAGCAUGGGAAGGCUUCUGGUGGGCCAUGGUCACAAUAACAACAGUGGGAUAUGGCGACAAAGUACCCGUGGCGUUCUUUUCUCGGGUGUUAACGAUAUUGUGGUUGUUUUGUGGCGCAAUCAUUCUGUCAUUGUUCACAGCUAACGUGACUUCGGUUCUCACAUCCAAUCAGAUGGAUUUCACAAAGGACCUCAUUGGGACAAGGAUCGCUGUAUUGAAUAGCAAGCACUAUUUUGAGUCAAAUUUGAAUGUUGGCGGGACUAUUGAAGAGUUCAAUUCACAAGAUGCCAUGUUCGCUGCGGUAGAAAGUGGCGAUGUGGACCGUAUUUUGGUCCAAAAUUAUUUUUACAUCCAUCGUUUAAAAGAAGGCGAAGAGAAGAUGAAGCUAUUCAGCGUUGUGGACGUGGUCCAUGAACCGUUUCUUACCGGAUUGGCAAUGGUUAAUAAACUGAGCAAUGAUAACAAAGCCUUUCUUUCAUGUCUACGAAAGAAAGUCAAGUCAUAUAAUAGGUUUCUUUUAGUUUCAUGUUUCCUCGAAAGACGCAAUUAUGGACGAGAAGAAAGAUUCACUGCACAAGACGUCGAUGCUGUUUGAACACGAUAUCUUAUUGAUCAUCUACUAUAACCUGAUUGCCAUCGGGGUCAUCGCUGGUAUCGGAGUAUUCCUGGAUCUUUUUAGAUGUUUGAAAUUUGGAAACCGAAGAAAAAAGAGAGGACUGGACUCCGAUGAUAUAGAAGAAUCUGAAAUGAAGUCCUUGGAUCGGGAAGCGAAUGUAUAAUAGACUGAAACAGAACUAUAAAAAGACCGGUGUGAAAGUGGACGCGUGAACGGCAUCUGGCCCAGAAGAACGCCAGGACAGGACAGGACAGGACAGGACAGGAGAAGGCAAUUCAAGACAUCACCGCGACAGCCUCGUAAACGGAACAGCUUCGAAAGUAGCUAAAGAAAUGAAAUUCUUGGUGCAAUUUUCAUAGUGUAUGGAUAUAUUGUACGGUACAGAUCGUUGCAUCAGAUGACAUUGAAAUGCUUCAGAACUUGACCUUGAACUGUUCCAUAGCGAUUCUACAAAAGCCUGCAGUUGGUUUUGUUCAACAAAUGUUGUGGACUGAGAAAAGAGUUAUAUAACUUGCUUUCUUGAUAGUAUAUGAUAAUGUUAAAAAAAAAUGUUAGCAGUUUUUAAUGUUUAUAAAGACAUGUUACUAUA